CGGGUGAUCACAGCCAGUCAACUAAGCCUGGUCGCCAUCCAGCCUGGAGCCAAGCACUCCGAGGAUCCAACGGCGAGCUAGAACACCACCUGAACUGCUGCGCAACAGGCUUUAAAAAUGGGUCCUGACCAGCCAACGGUGCUCGCCUGUCGAGACAGCCACAAAGGCGCGUCCUUUUCUCAGUCCCGCAAGCGACGCCGUUCCACGCUCCUCUCUCUGCCAGACGAC